GUAGAAAUAUCAUUAGGUUCUUUAGGUGUGACAGUAUUUGGUGAACUGGCAUGUAGGUUUCUAUCAUCCUUCUUCUUCUCCUUAGGAUGACUGGGUGUAUCAGCAUUAAUUCCUUGAGAAUCUUGAUCAAUUCUCUUAGGAUGACCUUCAGGAUACAAAGGUUCCUGAGUCAUUUUACCUCCUCAAGUAAUGACUCUGACAGAGUUGUCAUUUAAUUCAUUGAGCAAGUCAUUCUGAGCUUUAAGUACUUGUUCUACCU
rnacentral:lncRNA from 1 species